AGUGAACGCUGGCGGUAGGCCUAACGCAUGCAAGUCGAACGGCAGCACAGUAAGAGCUUGCUCUUACGGGUGGCGAGUGGCGGACGGGUGAGGAAUACAUCGGAAUCUACUUUUUCGUGGGGGAUAACGUAGGGAAGCUUACGCUAAUACCGCAUACGACCUACGGGUGAAAGCAGGGGAUCUUCGGACCUUGCGCGAUUGAAUGAGCCGAUGUCGGAUUAGCUAGUUGGCGGGGUAAAGGCCCACCAAGGCGACGAUCCGUAGCUGGUCUGAGAGGAUGAUCAGCCACACUGGAACUGAGACACGGUCCAGACUCCUACGGGAGGCAGCAGUGGGGAAUAUUGGACAAUGGGCGCAAGCCUGAUCCAGCCAUACCGCGUGGGUAAAGAAGGCCUUCGGGUUGUAAAGCCCUUUUGUUGGGAAAGAAAAGCAGCAGGUUAAUACCCCGCUGUUCUGACGGUACCCAAAGAAUAAGCACCGGCUAACUUCGUG
rnacentral:rRNA from 1 species